CCACACAGGGGGCUCAGAGCUGAGUCUGAACUGCUUCACGGUCACCAGCUCCUGUCCCUUCCAGUCUUGAGAGGCUUUUCUCUCCAGAUGGAACCUUUCCUUCCCGCCGUUUUCUCGGUCUCUGGCUGUUUUUCUCCUGUGCCCGUCUAAUUGGACACCUCCUGGCUUCCAUCUCUGUGGUUCGCCUGCCUCACUUCCUGUUCUGUUGUUUUUCCGUUUUGUCAAAAUAUCUCCUAUGUUCUUGGCUUCCUUUUCGUCGCCAGGUUUUCAGCUUUCCUUUAGCUCUUCUUCUAACAUGGCUUCUGCUCACAAAAGCCUGCUCUGUCAGGAUCUCAUGGUUCUCCACUUGCCAGAACCUUCUUCAGCCUCAGUUCCUCGGCCUCAACUUGUGUGUUUAACCCAUUGACCACCACCCCCCAAAUUCACCUUCAUUUCCUUGACCCUUUUCACUUACAGUGUUUAUUGUAACGCCAAACCAACAAAUCACAGGUGCUUGCUUCUCUCCGUAAAUCUCCCAGUCUAACUUUUUGUCAUUCAACAUGACUCGUUUAUCCAACCUGAAAUCGCAUAGAGCCCCAAGUAUGGUGUUUUGUACAUAGGUAUUUAAUAAGUGACUUCCAGUUUUGGCUCUGCUAUGAAUAAAAAGAGAUUUCAGUUCU
rnacentral:lncRNA from 1 species